rnacentral:rRNA from 1 species
UACGUAGGGUGCAAGCGUUUGUCCGGAAUUAUUGGGCGUAAAGAGCGUGUAGGCGGCCCGGUUAGUCCGCUGUGAAAGUCCAGGGCUCAACCCUGGAAUGCCGGUGGAUACUGUCGGGCUAGAGUCCGGAAGAGGCGAGUGGAAUUCCUGGUGUAGCGGUGGAAUGCGCAGAUAUCAGGAGGAACACCAAUAGCGAAGGCAGCUCGCUGGGACGGUACUGACGCUAAGGCGCGAAAGCGUGGGGAGCGAACAGG